rnacentral:rRNA from 1 species
UACAGGGGGUGCAAGCGGUACUCGGAUUUACUGGGCGUAAAGAGCGUGUAGGCGGUUCGUUAAGUCUGAUGUGAAAGCCCCGGGCCUAAUCCGGGAAGUGCAUCGGAUACUGGCAAACUAGAGUGCAGGAGGGGUGAGCGGAAUUCCAGGUGUAGAGGUGAAAUUCGUAGAUAUCUGGAGGAACAACAGCGGCGAAGGCGGCUCACUGGACUGUAACUGACGCUAAGGCGCGAAAGCGUGGGGAGCAAACAGG